rnacentral:rRNA from 1 species
UACGGGGGGGGGCAAGCGUUUGUUCGGAAUUACUGGGCGUAAAGGGCUCGUAGGCGGCCAACUAAGUCAUACGUGAAAUCCCUCGGCUUAACCGGGGAACUGCGUCUGAUACUGGAUGGCUUGAGUUCGGGAGAGGGAUGCGGAAUUCCAGGUGUAGCGGUGAAAUGCGUAGAUAUCUGGAGGAACACCGGUGGCGAAGGCGGCAUCCUGGACCGAUACUGACGCUGAGACUCGAAAGCGUGGGGAGCAAACAGG